CUACACUCAUAUCUCUACUCUGGCGGAUGUACAGGAGAAUGUGAUGGAAUAUCUUCAUGUGCUGAGCAGGCCAAUGGUCAUCAACCAGGAUCAUGACAUCAUUUGGACAGAGGCUUACAUGGACAGUGUGCUACCCAAUACAGCUGAGCUUUUUAACA